CCCCAGCGCCACAAGUGGUAUCCAGCUUUAUUUGGUCUAAAGCGUCCGUAGCUGGCGAGUUAAAUUUUCUGUGAAAUCGUGGUGCUUAACAUCACGGCGUGCAGAAAACACUGACUCGCUUGGGACCAGGAGAGGUUAGCGGUAUUCUGUGGGGAGCGGUAAAAUGCUAUAAUCCACAGAGGACCACCGAUGGCGAAGGCAGCUAACUAGAAUGGAUCCGACAGUGAGGGACGAAAGCUAGGGGAGCGAUCCGG
rnacentral:rRNA from 1 species